UUCCGGUUGAUCCUGCCGGAUCUACUGCUGUCGGGAUGAGACUAAGCCAUGCAAGUCAAGCGUUUCCUAGCUAUGUGGAAAUGCGGGCGUACGGCUCCGUAACACGUAGUUAACCUGCCUUAGGAUGGGGAUAACCCCGGGAAACUGGGGCUAAUACUAAUAGGUGAGAACACUGGAAUGGUUUCUCGUUGAAAAGACGUUAAGAACAUGCUCUUAAUGUUGCCUAAGGAUGGGACUGCGCCCGAUCAGGUUGUUGGUGGGGUAAUGGCCUACCAAGCCUAUAACCGGUACGGGCCCUGAGAGGGGUAGCCCGGAGAUGGGAACUGAGACAAGGUCCCAGGCCCUACGGGGCGCAGCAGGCGCGAAACCUCCACAAUACACGAAUGUGUGAUGGGGUUAUCCCGAGUGCUAUCCGCUGAGGAUGGCUUUUCUUCAGUGUAAGUAGCUGGAGGAAUAAGAGGGGGGCAAGACUGGUGUCAGCCGCCGCGGUAAUACCAGCCCCUCGAGUGGUAGGGACGAUUAUUUAGCCUAAAGCGUUCGUAGCCGGCUUAGCAAGUCCCUCGUGAAAUCCGAUGACUUAAUCGUCGGGCGUGCGAAGGAUACUGUUAAGCUUGGGGACGGGAGAAGUCGACGGUAGUCCCGGUGUAGGGGUGAAAUCCUAUAAUCCCGGGAGGACCACCAGUGGCGAAGGCGGUCGACUAGAACGCGCCCGACGGUGAUGGACGAAAGCUGGGGGAGCGAACCGGAUUAGAUACCCGGGUAGUCCCAGCUGUAAACGAUGCGGGCUAGGUGUUGGGGCAGCCACGAGCUGCUCCAGUGCCGCAGAGAAGUUGUUAAGCCCGCCGCCUGGGGAGUACGGCCGCAAGGCUGAAACUUAAAGGAAUUGGCGGGGGAGCACCACAAGGGGUGAAGGCUGCGGUUUAAUUGGAGUCAACGCCGGA
rnacentral:rRNA from 1 species